AAUAAAAAAAUAAAAAAAAUUGCCAUUUAUAUAUAUAUAUAUAUAUAUAUAUAUAUAAUCCUAAAAAGAAUGGAAAUAAACGAGUUGCAUUAUUUUAAUCAAAGUUGGUGCCUUGAAUAUUCCAAAACGUAAUUUCCAAUUGGAAAUUGAAGUAGAAUUUGUAUGUAUGUAUCAAUGCAUGUUAUAUAACCAAUGAAAGGCACCAAUUGGUCAAUGAAUACUAACCAACCUGUUGAAAGAUAAAAUUGAAUUGAUGAAUGGAUGCAUGAUCAUUAUAAAAAUAUUAAUAAUAACAAUAAUAAUGUAAACAAUGGAAGAAAAUUAAGAACCAGCACAAGAAGAUAUAUAUAUAUAUAUAUAUAUAAAUAUAAAUUGAUGAAAUUAGAGUUUUAAAUCCUACAAAGGCUACUAUCAAGUAUCUUUCACAUGGUUACAACGAUAAAUUUAAUUUAAGCUCCGCUCAGAGAAAUGUUUCUAAAAAUUAUAGUAAUUCCUCAUACAUUUCCACAGGGACUUCACCAAAGUUGGGUUUUGUAUGUGCCAAACAGCCAUAAAAAUCCUCCCUUUCGACUCCUCAGUUUGUUUUUUUUUGUUUCGUGUUUUUGUUUUGUUUUGUUUUGUUUUUUUGUAUUUUUUGUAUUUUUUUUUGUUUUUGUUUUGUUUUGUUUUUUUUUUUGUUUUUUUGUUUUUGUUUUUGUUUUUUUUUUGUUUACAAUUGCUGGGGUGUUUUUCCAUUGAUUUUUUUACCCACUUUUUUAUAAAAUUUCAUGCUUUAUUUAUCUUUAUUUGUAUAUACAUACAAUUUUGUUAAGGAUUCAUCACUUUAACAUAUUACUUCAAGAAAAAGGUAGAUGUUUAUUCUUCAAAUUUUGACAUUCAUCAUUUUCAAAAAUUAUAACCUAACAGAAAUUUGAAUGGUAAAAGUGUUUGGUCACCUUUAAGUAUUAUAUUCUUAUUAUAAAUAUACGUUUAAAUAUAUUUAUAAAUAUAAAUAAAACAAAUAUAUAUACAUAUAUAUAUAUAUAUAUAUAUAUAUAUUAAAACCACAACAUUUGAACCAAGAGAAUGUAAAGUUAGAAAUGUCAAGGUUUCCAGAGUUUGUAUUUAAGGUUAAGUCACAGUGGUUGUUUUUGUAUAAUGAAAUAACACCCAACUAAUCAGAACAUGGUUUUCCUUAGAAAUCUUUCAAAACAUUUCAUGCAUUGGAAAGAUUUCGAAGGAAAAUAACACAAAUGAAUGCGCUUGAAACAAGAUUGAACUAUUAUAUGGAAUACAAGUUUCAAUAUAGUACAAAAUUAUAAAUUUCUGUACGUGAAAUAAAAAUUCGGACAAGGUAAAAUCAAUAUCAUAAGGGACACUGCAUAAAUUAGUUGAAAUUAACAACGGUUAUUUUAAAAAAUAAAAUAUCAAUAUUUAUUAACAUGCAUGUAGAAGAUAAUUUUUAUGUGAAUACAUGUGAAUACAUUACUUAUAGAGAUUAAAAUAUACCUUUUAAAAUCGUAUUAAAUGUAACCUGUUUGUUUGAAAGUAAAUUCAUACACCGAAAAAUCUUGAUUUUUUUACACAAACAUGCAAAUUACUGAAUUGCAGGAUGAAGACCUGAAUAAUUUGAAUAAAAAGGCGAACUUAUUUGAAAAUGUCCUUAUAGAAUAAAAUUUCAGAACUUUUAAAUUAUGUGUUUUUUCUUGUGAGGAAUGUUUUUAAUGGCUGAUUUCUCUGAUAUGAGUUUCAUCGACUGAUUACUUCCAUAGCAUUAAACUUCAAUUUCAAUAGGUAUCUGUCGUUUUUUACAGUAAUAUGAGAUAUUAAUUAAAUUAUUGAUUUAGUAUGAUCCAAUAAUUUAGAUUGAUUUUCCAAAUAACUAUUAAUAAAAAUGUAAGUACAACAAGUGCACAGACAAAAUUAAAAAAACAUUAUAAUGCAGUAUUAUUUUGGUUGUUAUACACUUAAUUUAAUACAUUGUCAUAAAAUGGAUACAAUGUAUUUUUUUGGAAAGUUUGUUAAAAAAUUUUAAAAAUGAAAA
rnacentral:lncRNA from 1 species